GGCCGACUCCAAACUGCCCGACAUCCAGUCCGGCUUCGAAAAGGGCAUCACCGACGUGAUGGCAGGCCUGUCGGGCCUCAACCUCGUCUACGAAUCC
rnacentral:ncRNA from 1 species